AUGGUUUCCUUCAGACGCACAUAUAGUGAAAUUGAAAUAAUACAGAGAAGAAUAGCAUGACCCCUGCACAAGGAUGACAUGAAAAUUCAUGAAGCAUUCCUUUCUUUU
rnacentral:snRNA from 1 species